rnacentral:tRNA from 1 species
GCCUUAUAAGCUAUAAGCGACUUACUUUGUAAGUAGGGAGAGACUAGUUAACUCUAGUAUAAGGUU